GUAGCCGGCCGGGAUAAGUCUCUUGGAAAAUCUGGCAGCUUAACUGUCAGGCUUUCAGGAGAUACUGUCUGGCUCGAGGCCGGGAGAGGUGAGAGGUACUUCAGGGGUAGGGGUGAAAUCUUGUAAUCCUUGAAGGACCACCAGUGGCGAAGGCGUCUCACCAGAACGGACCUGACGGCAAGGGACGAAAGCUAGGGGCACGAACCGGAUUAGAUACCCGGGUAGUCCUAGCCGUAAACGAUACUCGCUAGGUGUCGGCCACGGUGCGACCGUUGUCGGUGCCGUA
rnacentral:rRNA from 1 species